UUUUUACUUCUAAAAAAUUAUCCUUUAAGUGAAGAGACUUAAAUAAAAUAAAAAGACAAAAAGACCCUAUUGAGCUUUAUUUCAUAAGUUAAACUUCUAUAGCCUAUGCAAAAGAACCUUACCUAUAGAAAUUUUGUUGGGGCGACAAGAGAAGACCUAAAUCUUCUCUAUACUACAAGAAUAUUCCUCUACUAAUGAUCCGUAACAAACGAUUAACAGAACCAGCUACCAUAGGGAUAACAGGCUAAUCUUCUUUGAGAGCCCAAAUUGACAAGAAGGAUUGGCACCUCGAUGUUGGCUUAGGAUACCUGAUAGAUGCAGAA
rnacentral:rRNA from 1 species